AUGUUGAAGAUGAGCGGAAUGCCAAAACAUUUUUGGCCAAAGGCGAUAACCUGGAGCAUUCACUUGCUGAACACAAGUCCUACAUUUGUUGUUAAGAAUAUGACACCCGAAGAAGCAUGGAAUGGACACAAGCCAAGUAUUGAGCAUUUGAAAAUUUUUAGCUGCAUCACAUAUGCUCAUGUUCCAGACCAGAAAUGA